GCCCGGAUGGCUCAGUAGGUUAAGCGUCUGACUUCAGCUCAGGUCAUGAUCUUGCAGUUUCUGCAUCCGAGCU
rnacentral:tRNA from 1 species